GGUGACUCAGUGGUAGAGUGCUUGCCUAGCAUGCAUAAGGUGUUGGGUUCAAUUCUCAACACCA
rnacentral:tRNA from 1 species